GAAAAUUAUUGUAUCCCUCCUCUUCCGAUCUCGCCUUCUUCUUAUGAGUUAUGAGAGUUGGAAAAUAUCUUGCCAUUGAGAAGAAGAACUACAAGUUGAAAAAUACACUUUCCAUUUGACAAAGAUACCAGUUGAGAAAUUGGAGUUAUGGUAAUGCAAAGAGUACCUUUGAAUUCCAAUUUUAAAGGUCAACAGAAGAGGAAAUUUGAGGAGUAUAUAUAUGAUGGUGUAUUUACUAGUUUUGAACUCAUUGAUAGAGAGAAAUAUGGUAGUAAAAAUUCCAAGGAUCCUAUAAGAAACUCAUCGUCUCCCCUUGCAUCUUCAACACUAGCCCACAAAAAUGAGAAUGCUUUAGAAGGAACAAAAGAUGGAGAAUAUUGUGCUAUUUGUAUGGAAGAUUAUUCUCACUUUAGUGAUUCUGAAGAUUCUACUAAGGGACUUAGUUAUCCUAUGUAUUUAGGAAAUUUGGAAGUCCAACCUAGGGAUUUAUUGCCUAGUUGUAGUUGUAGUUUUUCUUUCACUACCAAAACAUUAAUGAAGGUUAAGUCAAAAAGGAAACACUUGGAAGUGUUGAAGUCAUUUGGGGUUGACACUGAUAACGAUAAUAAGAGUUUACCAUUUUCAUCGAGCUCAACAGAAAAUGAUAGUGAUGGAGUUUGCUCGAUCAAUAAAUUUUUACUUUCGAGGAGUAGUCAUCUUCCAAGACCAAUUAUUCCCAUAGGACCUAGGUUUCAAGCAGAAGUUCCUAAAUGGGAAGGCGGAAUCGACCUAAAACAUUUUAAUAGUUUCGAUGAUUUGAAAUGGUUAGGAACUCAAAUUUGAACAUUGCCUACUAUCUCUGAAACAAAAAAAAUUGUAUCUAUGGGUCUUGCUCAUUCCGUUUAUGAUUGAUUGAUUUGGCAUGUGGUAUUUCUCAUGUUAUAAAAGUAAUAGUCACCUGUUUUAUUCUUGUGUUUUUGCCUCCAUAUUGUUUAGAAAUCCGUAUCUUGACAAUUCAAAAAAAAAAAAUUAUCUUGAGUUUGAAACUAAUUGGUGUAAAUUGUCUACUUCACAAUUUAAUUCAAAGCUAAAAGUUUAGUUUUGUAUCUUCAAAUUAUUGAAUUUGAAUUUUCUUUAAGUAGCAUGUUCUUUUAUUGUUUAUUGAGUUGAAGGUUCUUUUAACAAGGAUGACAAUUGUACUUAUAUGCAAUGAGUACUCUUAAAAAAUACUUACAAACAGGUAGGAUAAAAGUCCGCAAAAAUGGAUACAGACAUGAAGAUGAAUAAUUACUCUCUAAAAUAAGCAGGUAUGAGUAUAGUUACCUUUGUAUCCACCCCUAGGGGUGGGAAUAGGUUAGACCUGGCUAGGCUAGGCUUUAUAAGGGCUGAGUCUGGCCAACGAAAAAUUACAAGGCCUGAGCCUGACCUAUGGCUUACUAUAAGAUCUUUUUUUCAACAUGGCCUUGGCCUAGCCUGAAAGCCUAAUUAAAGUCUCUUUCUCAUUAAGGUUUUCAAUUAAUUUGUACUACUUAAAAAACCUUAUAGGUUGGACUAUAUAUGAAUAUUUAGGUCGGUCUAUUUAACAUUUUUUUCUAAUAUAUAUGCAUAUAUAGACCAACCUAUUUAGCAUUUUUUCUAAUAUAUAUGCAUAUAUAGGCCAGCCUAUUUAAACUAUUCUUAAUAUAUAUGAAAAUAUAGGUAGGCCUAUAAGGCUUCAUAGGAUUUUUUAAUAGCUUAAACAUGACCUGUGUAAUUAAAUAUAUUUUUAAAAAAGCCUAAGUCUAACCUUGAAUAGGCUAGACUAUAGACCCCUGUAGGCCGGCCUGACCUAUUUUCAUCCCUAUUUAUUUGCUCUAUACUCGUACAAUGUAUAUUUAUAUAUAUUUUUAUUUAUAUUAUUAAAUAAAAUUAAAUAUUUAUCACUUUUAAAAAAAUACAUCAUUAUUAAACUAUUAUGCAUUUUGAUAUAAGUGUUCGAUUGUUUUAUAACUCAACAUUAAAAAAUUUAAAAUUUUUGUUUACGUAGUUAAAAUAUAAAAUGAUAUGAUAAUUUAUAAUUUAUUGAUUUGUUUUCGCUAGAACUGCGGAUAACAAAUAUGAAUAUCAGUACUUGAGUACUCGUAAGAUAUGAGUACGAGUAUAAAAGUUGGUGUCUACGCGAGUAAGAGCUGGCGCCAAUUGGAUUGAUGUCUGUAGAUGGUGUUGCCAACCCAAUUGGUGCAUGUGUGUAUUAUUUCAAUGGCGGUACCAAUUCAAUUGGCACUAGUGUGUAUUGUGUUAUACAUACUAGUGUUAAUUAAAUUGACGCCACAAUUGAAAUAAUACACACAGACGUCGAUUGAGUUGAUAAUACCAAGAGUAGUCGCCAAUCCAAUUGGCGUCACCUCUUAAAUCCAUUUCUUUUUUAAAGUGGGGGUAGAUUGAUUUGUUUUUGAAAUAUGAGUUAGUUUGAGAUAUUUUUUGAAAAUGUAGGUUAUUUAGGCAAAUGAAUAUAAUUUCUUUGGUGUGGUUUUUACUAUUUUUUCAAUAAAAAUAUGACAAAUUUACUUAAAUAUUUUUUAUGGAGUAUAAAUAGAAGGAAAUUGCGUAUAUGUAAUAGAAAAGUAUACACUUGCCAUAUAAAACUGAACAUGUUUUUAUUUAUUUUUGCUAUUGAAGACUUAACAUAAAAAAAUGUGUAUUUACUAUAUUAUCAUUAAUAUUUUAUUAUUAUUAAAUAUUUUAUCAAUAUUAAUAUAAGGUAUUUUUUUAAAUAUAAAGGGAUUGUGCGCUAUUGUUCUGGCGAUUUUCGGCGAGUUUGUAACAAACUCCGGUGAGGGUCACCUGUUUACUUCUACGAUGCUCCUUCUACUUCUGUUGGCUUAAGAUUCUAACCUUAAGGUUAGGGGCCACGGAGGGGGAAGGCAACACUGUGUGCAUUCAUUCCUUAACUGAUUCUUAGGAUGGGUCGAGGGCGAUGAUGGCCAAAGGGUAGGGUAUCACCGCCAAUGAUUCAACCACUGGUUCAUGAGGCUUCUGAAAGUACCCCGGUGUGUCAAUCGGGUAGUGGCAAUGGGGAACAAGCUAGUGAAGGUGACAAAGAUGCAACUGAAACCCUAGUUGUUGAGCAGGAGAAAGGCACAAAGGAUGAAGAUGAGAAAGAGGAGAAGAAAUUAUGGUUGGAUGUCAUUAGCGGGAACCGCCUACCAGCUAAUGGAUUACCAGUUGAAUACCAUGCUCCUAAGUAUGUCGAUGGGAUAGAGGAAGUUGAAAUUGUUCCGGAGGACAUCAUGUCAAAACUACACUUUUGGGAAGACACUGUGAUCAUGUAUGUAUUGGGAAGAGACCUUAGUGUCGCGGGGAAAAAUCGUAUCUUUUUUCGGGAUGAGACACCUGAUGCCUUCUUUGGGCUCGAGUGCUCAAAAAAAUGAUUUUUCUUUGUUUCGACCAAACUUUUUAUUGUUUCCAAAGUAGGAAAAGGAAAAAAGUUGCAAUAACCUAAAAAGUGGGGGAGAGAUUCCGGGUAAGAGGGUUGGUUAUACGAAGGGAAGGUAUUAGCACCCAACGUAUCUAUAGUACUCUAUAGGCUUCUUUGUUAUGUUUGUUUCAUUCUAUGUUAUGGUGGAGGUUCUUGUGAAAUAGGUGGGACCUAAGGUGUUUGUUUGAUUAUGCUCGCAAAGAUCAUCGCGAUCCUCUGCAUACAUAUCCCUUAGAGGGAAUCAGAGCAUCUGUAGCUCGGGGUCUACGGGUGCUAAGGUUUGAGUGGUUUGAGGGAGAAGUUUUGCUCGCCAAGGAUACGACCUUGUGCCUACGUAUUCUCAAAGGGAUGUUGAGAAAGUCAGAGCAAUCGUAGUUCCCACUUAUGCUAGUGGAAGCAAAGGAAAAGAGACAAAUGUCAUCUCAAUGUUCGAUGUAUCUAAUCUAUAUCAUCACAUACAUCUGUUUGUUUUUGUUUGAAAAUCUUUUCAUUAUAAGCCCUGGGCCAUGCCACUUAUGGCGUUUAGAAUGAUAAAGAUGCUUUUUAGCCAGCCUUGUGGCAAAAACUUUCAACGAAGUCAGCCUUGUGACAAAAAGUUUUGAUUAAUCAGCCAGCCUUGUGGCAAAAGUUUCAAUGAAGUCAGCCUUGUGACAAAAACUUUGAUUAAUCAGCCAGUAUGGUGGCAAAAAGGUUUGAUUGAUUAGCCAGCCUUGUGGCAAAAAAGUUUGAUUGAUUGAUUGAUUGAUUGUGAUGAUAUAGAAGAGAUACUCCUAUCAUAGAGAUGAUAAAUGUCUAAUCUCCUAGGGUAUUUGAUUUGGAUAUUGGGGAUGCUUAUAAGAAGCCCGUGGGUCCUUGUACGAAGCCCAAGAGGAGGCUAUCCGAGGGUCCUUGCAUUGUAAGACCAAGAGGAGGCUAUGGGAGGGACAAUCGAGGGUCCUUGCAUUGUAAGUCCAAGAGGAGGCUAUGGGAGGGUCACUCGUUUGUACAAAGCCCAAGGGGAGGCAUGGUAUAGUUGGUUUGAGCUCUUAGAGCGAUUUCACCGGGAAACCAUACUCUAUGUCCUAACCUAAACUAGGGAGAUUCUUUGCACGAAGCCCAAUAGGAGGCUAUGGGGAACCUAGUGUUGUACUAAGUUGAACAAGUAUAUAUAACACGAUCACAAAUAUGAACAAGUACAAACAAAUAUUGACAAGUACAUGAACGAAUAUGAACAAGUACAUGAACAAAUAUGAACAAGUAUGAACAGUUAUAUAUAACAAGGUGUGUGUAUACAAUGGAGUUUAUGAAGGAAAUAUACCUGUAAGCAUGAUCCAUUUGUAUACACGGGGCUCGGGACUCAUACUCGGGGAGAAGCCCAUUGAGUUUAUUCAAAAGUUAUGUAAGCAAGUAUUUACAAGAGGCCUCGGGACUUAUACCUACAUGGAGGCCCAUGGUAUUUUUGGGAAGAUUUGAAGAAAACCUUCAUUUUUUGAUUUGUUGUUCGAAGUUAAAAAAACAAAUUGAACGAGAUAUAUACAAAAAGGUAUGUGUACAAUGAAAUACCCAAUUUCAUGUACAGGAAUGAGACUUAUACCUAUGUGGAGGCCCCUAUUGAUUUUUGAUGAAAAAACCUAAUUUUGAUCUUGUUAUUCGAGGGUUUAAAUCGAUUCGAUCGAAGUAUAAAAGAUAGGUAUAUAUACAAUGAAAAACCUAAAUUUAUACAAAGGAAUGGGACUUAUACCAUAAGGGAUGCCCAGGAGGUUUUGGAAAUCAAUUGAUUAAUCCAAAAAGAUUUAUUCAAAAGUUUUUGAAAGGAGAACCAAAAAAGAAAUGGUUUUGAAAGUGAUUUGUUUUUUUUAAAAAACGUCGAUCGUUUGUUUUAGAACAGUUUGAAAUUUUUGAAAGGAAUCGAAUUAAUUAAGAUAAACACAAAAAUUAUACUUAAUUAUCAUCUA